rnacentral:tRNA from 1 species
GCGGCCUUAGCUCAGUGGUUAGAGCAGGCGACUCAUAAUCGCUUGGUCGCUGGUUCAAGUCAGCAGGGGCCGCA